GGAGGAGGCAUCCAAAGGGAUCGCAUUGAUCCCAAAUUUCAGAUUUAUAAAUUUUUCUCUUUCCCUCCCCUUCUCAAUAUUUGGGAUCAUGCUAUCCCUUUGGAUUCCUCCUU
rnacentral:miRNA from 11 species